rnacentral:lncRNA from 1 species
CAAUAAUUAUUGUUUUUCAGAUCUCCGAGGGCAAAAUGUAAACGACAUUAACGCCUCGACGUGGAUUCAAACCCUACAUCGACAUCUGCAUGCUAUUAAAUAUGAAAAUGUUUACAUGUUCAUAAAUGGGUAAGUAUCAACAGAUUACUGGAAGGGAAAGAGAACGACUGCCAGGGAUACAACUUGUAUAUAGGCUCAUACUAUGUGACAAACAUGGCCACCAGGCGACGAGCUGACGAACCGAGGCGAUGGGAUACGACAACGAUGUAGCGAAGAAGGUGACCUACAGAGCGACCACGACGGCUACCAGGUUACGACUAUGGUGAUGGUGAGCAAGCGAUUACGAGACUGAUGGCGACCACGGUAGUAACCAGCGAGGGAAGAAGGGCGGGGGCCAGGGUGACUACCAGGGUGAUGGCAACCAGAGCAACGAACAAGAUGACGGCAACGAUGAUCAUCAGGAUGGAGCCUACCAGGGCGACGGCAUGGACGGCAACCGGAUCUUUACCACGGUAAAGACGACCGAGCCGGGGCGACUACCAAGUGAUAGCUCCGGAGAUAUACAAGAUGAUACACCCUUUGUCUCUUCGCUGCUAAGAAGACGACGAGUGAACUGUAAUCUUAGAUGCUUCCCAGAGAUCACAAUUUAAGUCUGCAGAUGCAAACAUGAGCUACAAGCUAGAUGACAUCCAUGUCAAUGACAACUGCUCUUCACACAAAAAAUAUCAGGACUUCGACGCCCACGCACGAACAAGGGAGAAGCCAAAAAUGAAAUAAAUUUGAAAGAAAGCUUUGAAUCUUGCACAACCAAAAUAAUGUCAUAAACUGUUGCUUGAAAGAGGAUUCUGCAUUAGUUAUUUUCAAUGAUGUACAUCUACAAACAUUCGAGACAUUGGAGGCAGUUUUAAGUGAGAGAGAAUAACACUGUAUUAGGUGCUUUUAUAUAGCACUCUGCAUGGAUGCAUUAUUUGAAUAUUUUGUUAACAUAAUCAAAUUAAUGUACGUCAAGCAAAA